AUGGAAGGUAACUGCAUGUCGACUGUUCAUGUCGAUCGUCCUUUAAAAUAUUUCUUCGAUCUCUUGUUUGAUCCGAUUGCUUAUUUUGCAGAGAAAAUGAGGUUGGCUCUGGAGAAGGACUUGGACCUUGCAGCUACGCAGAAGGAAGCUCAAGAUAAGACUGCCCUUGCAGACCAGAAGUUGGCUUCGGUCGGAGUGCUGGAAGAAGAAGUAAGCAAGAUGAAGUCCUCUCUCACUGAAUCCAGCCGCGAGGUCACUCAUCUGAAGAAGGAUAACAUGGCUCUGAAUGAGAAGCUGGAGUCCGUGGCUCGUAAGAGAAAUGAUGUGGAAUCCUAUCUGAGAACUCUUGCCAAGAAGCUCUAUCUUAUGCUGGAAGGUACUCCUUUUAAUCCGACUACUUUACUGCUUGCAAGUUAA
rnacentral:rRNA from 1 species